rnacentral:rRNA from 1 species
AACGAACGCUGGCGGCAUGCCUAACACAUGCAAGUCGAACGAGACCUUCGGGUCUCGUGGCGCACGGGUGCGUAACGCGUGGGAACCUGCCCUUAGGUUCGGAAUAACUCCCCGAAAGGGGUGCUAAUACCGGAUAAUGUCUUCGGACCAAAGAUUUAUCGCCUUUGGAUGGGCCCGCGUUGGAUUAGCUAGUUGGUAGGGUAAAAGCCUACCAAGGCGACGAUCCAUAGCUGGUCUGAGAGGAUGAUCAGCCACACUGGGACUGAGACACGGCCCAGACUCCUACGGGAGGCAGCAGUGGGGAAUAUUGGACAAGGGGCGAGAGCCUGAUCCAGCAAUGCCGCGUGAGUGAUGAAGGCCUUAGGGUUGUAAAGCUCUUUUACCCGGGAUGAUAAUGACAGUACCGGGAGAAUAAGCUCCGGCUAACUCCGUG